UACGGAGGGUGCGAGCGUUGUCCGGAAUCACUGGGCGUAAAGGGCGCGUAGGCGGCGCGGAAAGUCAACGGUGAAAGCUUGGGGCUCAACCCCGAGUCGGCCGUCGAUACUUCCGUGCUCGAGCACUGUAGAGGCAGGUGGAAUUCCGGGUGUAGCGGUGGAAUGCGUAGAGAUCCGGAAGAACACCGGUGGCGAAGGCGAGUCUCUGGGCCGUAACUGACGCUGAGGAGCGAAAGCGUGGGGAGCGAACAGG
rnacentral:rRNA from 1 species